GUACUCUCCACCCACGCGACCUCUGACGGCCAAAUAAUCCCUGUCUUGUGCCAUUGAUCGUGGAUAUGCAUUGUUACUUUCUUGUUACUCGCUCAUAAUCAUACAUAUUUUGGAAAAAAUAAUGCUGCUUUGUUAAUUCCGUUGUCCUUUUGGGAAUAUUUCAGACGUGUACAGUACUUCUGCAGUGAGAAGUAUAGCCAUUGACAAGAGGCAGUGUUUUUGUUAUGAUGAGAACCCAUUGGAGAAUUACUUGAACUACUCCCGUCCUAAUUGGUUAAUGGAAUGCUCUCGGAGACUCUUUCUCAAGAAAUGCGGCUGCCAACCGUAUUUUUACCCAAUCCGAGGUAAAGACAUGAAGGUGUGUGGUAUUCACGACGUGGAUUGCUCUUUCGAUGCCUCGAAAAUGGCACAAAUGUUGGCCUUCCCGUCAUCAUCAGUCCAAAUCGAGCUCAACGAAUUGGGCCUGUUAUGCUCCUGUCCUUCGAGUUGCAAUGAGGUGAUCUACUCUAUCGAAACAUCCUCAGCCCCUUUUCCAAGCGAAAUGGCAUACCAAAGCAGCGAAACGAUUCAACAAACCGUCGCCAAAGGCAAAGGCAAAGUGGACCUUCGAUUCUUACAUUUUUUUUCAUUGAUCCUUUCUGUGGCUUUUGAUGUAACAUACCAGGCUAUAUGGUUUGAAAAUCUGUUCGGUUAAUCUUGAAGAUCUCUUGUUGCCUCUGACGUCUUUGUUUUAAAGAGGAGACCUCGUUGGUGCACGUUUUCUUCAAAAACGAAUUCAUCAUCCAGUACAAACGAGAUACAUUGUACGGUAUCAAAGACUUUAUCUCCAAUAUCGGUGGACUAAUGGGCCUUUUUAUGGGAUUCUCGUUGUUGAGUGCCAUCAAGAUUGUCUACUGGUUCUUGGUGCGAUGGUUCAUCCUUGUUUUCAGGCGGAAGGAACCUCAGACCAGGAGCACACAUCAAAUGCAUCUCACUGCCAACAAACCAGAAUCCGCCAUUUCGUGUCUGCAUUCAAAUCUGGCCAUAAAACAGGCUUUUGAUGAGUUGUUUGAUAAGCGGUGACCUUAUGAUAUAUUGUUGUCAAUGAUCAACAUCGAUGAAUAGAAAUCGGAAAUUUCAAAUCAUAAAAAUAUACCUGUAGAUUGAAACAUGUCAAAAUGGCCUAGAGUAAAAAAACAACGCCAUGACCACUGUACUGAAGUCUCAAUGUUCGGAAAUAACGCUAAUAGUGAUUGGCACCCGUGCAGGUGCAGAAUAAAAAGUAACCAGACAAAAAGGAAAAAUUUCUAUUUCUCUUCAGAUAGUUAAUUGAUGAGCAAAAUGGUUUCAAAAGCGUAAGACAAGUUCUCAGGUACAAUAUGGUACUAAUCUAUGCAUUAAUCAGAAGUGAUGAUGAUUGUCGGCUUCGUUUCCUCGA